GCCAAAGAGAGGUAAUUCUAGAGGAAUUAAUUUCAAUAAUUAUCACGUGAUAUGGAUGACGAUCACUUAUCUUUUGCACAGGUGUUUCUCGAGUAAGGACGGUUGGGGGUGAAGCCGGUCCUUCGAGGCCUAAGAAAGGUCCCGGAGGGUAUGAUCACGUUGAUCCUCCGGUCUUGAACGGAGAGGGUCCCUGCCCGUACUGCCACCUGUCACCGUGUGUCAGAGCCAGACCACCCAGCUGGCUGAUUGGAAGCGCUGCACCUAAUUUGGGGAAUAUGGUGAAGCGCUUCAAACUAUACCGCAAGUAUUGGACGCUGCUAGGUCAGUUGGGGGUAUGGAAUCACCCUCUAUAUAUGGCAUAUAAAGUGACCAAAACCAGUGCACAUGACAAGAGGGAUGUGAUGCCUGAUUGAGUAUUGAGAGAGGUGCGUGAACGAUUUCCGAAUCCAGAUGGAGUUCCAUACACUAUUGAUAAAGUCAUUACUGAAAAACAAAAACAAAACUAGCACAUAAGAAUUAAUUACCUCACCGUCCUGCGAGUAACCAGGUAAUGCCUUCACUUCGU